GACGUUAGUGCUAAAACAUGAUUUAAAUGUCGCUUUUUGACUUCUGAGUUCUGACAUUAUCUGAGAAUACGACCGUGGUGAAUGUAAAAUUUUCCUAUUCUCUAUGACACAACAAAAAAUUGAAAUAGUGCUUAAUCUUUUGUUUUAUUUGUUGUCGUUUCAUGAAACUUUCGAGCAACACGCGAACCCUGAAAAUGGACUUCUACGUACAGGUUCCCUUCAUCAGCCAAACAAAUUGGAUACGCUGAUGGUCACGCCAACACCAAUGGCUUUGGUGGUACCGUCUCCUCUUCAUUUUUCGGCCAAACGAAAUGGAGAUUCACGUUGUACGCGAGUAUCACACUUAGAAUACGUCUCCUUUGAUUCAGAAGUUCCGACUGUUGAUCUACCAUUUCUGGCGUUUGGACAAAGAAAGAGAAGACGAACACAUCAACGUAAACAGGAGGAAGUAACCUUGUCCUCGUGGCCACUUGGUGGGUGUCCGGAAGGAAAUGAAAGUUUCCUUUCCAUUUCGAAUCCACAGAAUCCAGUCAAUUGGGAAAAAACUCUUUGAUAUAGCAGUGAGGAGGUUUGCAAGCCGUUGCCCGUCUUUUGAUAUCAGACAGAGCCCCUAAACCAGCAGCAGUUGAAUGGGAGACUGCUGAUCGCAACAUGUUAAAGUUUGCCAUUCAAAAGUAACGAACGAUGUGCCAGUUUUUCCGUGGCAGACAACAGCAGCAAGGGAUCCUUCCUGCAGCAACUGUUACAAAUCAAGCCUCGCAAUAGUGGCCAAUUCGUCAGCGCCGUUUCCUUUCCUCUUGUUUGAUUUGGAUUUUUUAUGUAUAGAACGUGUUAUUGUUAUCGAAUGUGUUGCGUCAUAGGAAAAGGAAACGACCGAAAAUUUGGCGCUAUACUCUGGGAGGUCCAACGGCCCACCGGCUGGGCCAUCCUCUUGUUCCCUACACCGUUGCGGCCUUGUCCUCUCGACAACACAUUGCAUCCACCGAUUCAUCAAUCAAUUGUGUAGUCUACCUUACUGUAGCCAUUCACCCUGCAAACAGAUUCGGCAGCUGUUUUAUUUCAUGCAGCGCACGUACUAGACGCGUGCACCCCACAGCUUCUCCAGUUUGACGGCCAGUUGGCAUGUAUUGCCUUUAUGGUUUUGAUAUCUCGAAAUGAGUUAGCAUCGUCCAUGAAGAAUGAAAAAUAGAUAGAAAGGAUAGACUGCUGCACAUGUCCAUAUUUCACAUACGUAUAAAACGGCCGCAAAGAAUAGUGGCCAAGAGUUGAAAGGGGAAAUUCGUGAUGGGUGGUUUUAUCCACAGAGGAUCGUCAUGGCAAGGAAAGAAAAAAAAGGAAUCCUGCAGAGGCCGUUCUUCAAAAAUGGCUGAUGCAGUUUGCGGCUGACUUCUCGGGGGCUACCGUGUACGCGUUGGGGUGUGUCAAGACAAGCCAAAAGAGUCAAGACGAAGCGGAUCUACAAUGGAGGAGAGAUGAUCCCCUACGGCGCCUCUUGACGCGAUCACGCUCACAACACAGCAUAGAGAGGUGGGUGCUCUUAUAUUAUCUUUGCUGCCUCUAUUGUCGUUGACAACCACAAAAGUGGAUCCUUUUCAGCCCCACUCCUCUGCUGCUGUCACACCUCUUGAAAAACUCUUUUUUUUUUCCUUUUUUCUUCUUCUAUUAUUUCCGCCCAGCUUCAAAAUUCUCUCGCAGGCUCUUGUCCUCCCCCCCUUUUUGCCUUUAUUCAUUGUCCCCAACAAUCCAUAAUGCUGGCCCACUUUGAGUUAUCACAGGACAUUUUUCCAAGCGCUACCGUUGCCAUGUUGCUGCUGUGUAUUGAUAUAUUUAUGCACACGGCCUGUGUCAGCGGAACAACAGCGAACCUAUGAGGUCCGUCUGGCUUAUUGAUUGUUUGUGAUUAUUGUGGAUAUGAUUUAAACAGCAAGAAUGAAAUGAUCAGUACAACAGCAGAGACCCACCGCUACGAGAGUUGCUAUGGACUACAUUGUUGGGUUUCUGUCCCACUUUAAAGCUUCUCCCUCGUUCGUAUAUAUUUGGCCAGUUAUGUCUAAAUGGCAGCAUCUGACAGGACUAAUGUACAAGACCGCUUUUAAAUUCGUUUUUCAUUCGGAGAAUUCCAAUAGAGUUUAGCUAGUCGAAUACAAGAGACGACCAGCAGUAUAGCUGCAAUAUUAUAAGCUUUCCUUUUUGCUUAUGACUAUAAAUAGAGAAACGCUGACAACAGACAACGUUUUCGUUUUCUUUCGCUUUGUUUGCGUGCUGUUUUAUCCACUUCUUGUUUUUUUUUC